CCCGGGACGCGGCGGACGGCUCAGGACAACGGUUGCACCCCCCGCGGCGGUCCCUGCUAGCCGGACACCGCUGGCAACCCGGCGCCAAGACGUGCGCGCAAGGGCGGGCGCCCGCGGGCGAGCAGCGUGACGCAG
rnacentral:rRNA from 1 species